rnacentral:lncRNA from 1 species
GGAAGAUUGGCAACGGAUGUUAGCUCAGGGUGAAUGUUCCUCACCAAAACAAAAGAAAAAGAAGACAGGGCAGGGUUCCACUCUGCUGUCCACAGGGUCGCAAGGAGUCAAAAUCAACUCAGCAGCACUAACAAAGUUUCUAUUUUUAUGGAACUAGCAGCAUUUGACCUCGAGCUUCAGAGAUGGGUAGAAAUUGGAAGAUUUGAGAGGAGAGUAAAGAAGAUUGCAGAUGCUGGGACUUCUUAUCAUUAGGAGGAAGAGCUUGAGUUAAUACUUAUUGAGGAGCAUGACCACCUGACGGUAGUGAAGAGGAGAAGCAUUUUGCGUUCUUUGAGUGAAGUCACAGGAUGCAUCUGCCCAGGGAAUGUGCUGGGAACCAGCCUACCUUGAGAAGAGGUGCCAAAAGGAAAAAUGAGAAUAAAAGGUGUGGGCAUGUCAAGACCAUGUGAUGGGUUUCUCCAAAAGAGCUCAUCAACCACAAAGUCUUCAGAAAAUCGUCAACCUCAGCCAACAAAUAGUACUCAACCCUAUGGAAAAAAGUGGGCAGUCAUGACUCAGGCAAAGCGACUCUGUUUUUCUGAAUGGAAAAAACAUUCCACGUUUUGAUCUUGACCAAGAACAUUACUGAAUGCAACUCUGAGGGGCUGGCCCCGUGGCCGAGUGGUUAAGUUCCCGCGCUCCGCUGCAGGUGGCCCAGUGUUUCGUUGGUUCGAAUCCUGGGCGUGGACAUGGCACUGCUCGUCAAACCACGCUGAGGCAGCAUCCCACAUACCACAACUAGAAGGACCCACAACGAAGAAUAUACAACCAUGUACGGGGGGGCUUUGGGGAGAAAAAGGAAAAAAAAAUAAAAUCUUUAAAAAAAAAAAAACCACCUUUUACAUCUUGGUGGAGGAGAUCACAAUAAAUAGAAUAAUAAAUAAACAAGAUAAUUAAUGACUGUGGUAACUACAAUGAAGGGAAAGAACAAGAGUGAGGAAGUCAAUAGAAACUGCAGAAGGCCACUUCAGAUAGGGUGUUCAAGGAUGUCCUUAGAAAGGGGUAACAUCUGAGCCUAAUCGUCCAGGAUGAGAAAGAGCCAACCAGCUUUCCCUUGGGGUGAGGGGGAGCAUCCUGGAGGAAUUCAAGUGCAAGGCCUGGGAGCACGUGUUCAAGAUAGAGAACAGAAGCUGGAGUGGCUGAAGUGGUGACUAUGAUAUUGGAUAGGUUUGCAGAGGCUGGCUCCAUGGCCUAGUGGUUAAGUUUGGUGUACUCCAUUUCUGCAACCCAGGUUCAAGGGUUUAGAUUCCAGGUGCAGACCUACACCACUCGUCAGCCUUGCUGUGGUGGUGACCCACAUAUAGAGUAGAGUAAGACUGGCACAGAUGUUAGCUCAGGGCUAAUCUUCCUCAAGCCAAAAAAAGAGGAAGAUUGGCAACAGAUGUUAGCUCAGGGCUAAUCUUCCUCACACAUACAAAAAAAGUUUGCAGAGCUGGCAGAAGCUAUAUCUUGCAGGACCUUGUAGACCAUGUAGAGGUGGUCAGAAGCCAUUGAAGAGUUUUAAGCAGGAGAAUAUGAUUUUAUUUACAUUUUUGAACAAUCACUCUGGCUGCUGUGAGGAGAAUGGAGGUAGAAGUGGAAGCAGAUUAGUGAGGAAGCUGCAAUGAUAAUCCAGAUAAGUGA